rnacentral:rRNA from 1 species
UACGUAGGGUGCAAGCGUUAAUCGGAAUUACUGGGCGUAAAGCGUGCGCAGGCGGUUAUGUAAGACAGAUGUGAAAUGCCCGGGCUUAACCUGGGAACUGCAUUUGUGACUGCAUGGCUAGAGUUUGGCAGAGGGGGUAGAAUUCCACGUGUAGCAGUGAAAUGCGUAGAUAUGUGGAGGAACACCGAUGGCGAAGGCAGCCCCCUGGGUCAAGACUGACGCUCAUGCACGAAAGGCGUGGGGAGCAAACAGG